rnacentral:rRNA from 1 species
GAUGAACGCUAGCGGCAGGCCUAAUACAUGCAAGUCGAACGGUGUCUUCGGACAUAGUGGCGCACGGGUGCGUAACACGUAUGCAACCUACCUUACAUUGGGGGAUAGCCUUUCGAAAGGGAGAUUAAUACCGCAUAAGACAGUAGCUGGGCAUCCAGCAGCUGUUAAAGAUUUAUCGAUGUAAGCUGGGCAUGCGUCCAAUUAGCUAGUUGGUGAGGUAACGGCUCACCAAGGCAAUGAUUGGUAGGGGAACUGAGAGGUCAAGCCCCCACCCUGGCACUAAGAUACGGGACAGACUCCUACGGGAGGCAGCAGUAGGGAAUAUUGGGCAAUGGACGCAAGUCUGACCCAGCCAUGCCGCGUGCAGGAUGAAGGCGUUAUGCGUUGUAAACUGCUUUUAUACAGGAAGAAACGACUCUUGCGAGAGGCAUUGACGGUACCGUAUGAAUAAGCACCGGCUAACUCCGUGCCAGCCGCCGCCGUAAAAC